rnacentral:ribozyme from 1 species
UGCCCAGCAACUCCUAUCCCUAUCUUUUCGUGGUACUGGCUGGAAGGUCAGUACUACGUGGUACUGGCUGGGAAGAUCGGGUAACCAAUCCCGGUGGGAUCUUUGGUCGUAUGCUGACAGGGAAGG